CUGGUGUAUCAGGGGCAGAUGGAAGGCGGCCAUCAGAGGUCUAGGCCAGCAAGACCUCUCUGUCCUAGAAGCUUUUGCCUAAAAGCAACUCUUGGAUAUAGGGAAUUUGGGAGGUGGAAUCCCAGUUUCGGCCAUUUCUGUGUAGACAAGAAGGACAGUUCUUUUCCAUAGGAUGGAAAGCAUAGAGCCCAAUGUUCCAAAGGCAGAAAAGGAGAGCGGUGGCUCCUGGGAGGCCAAGCCAGCAAGACCUGUUUGUCCUGGCAGCUUUUGUCAGGAGGAAUCCUUGGAUAUAUGGAAUUUGGGAAGAGGAAUCUCUAUUUUGACCACACACACCAUGAGAAGAAAUAUAAUUAUUUUCCAUAUGAAGGAAAGCCCAGAGCCCCAGUGUUUGGAAAGCAGGAAAGAGAAUGUGAAGUCCAAGUGUCCUGGAAGAAGAUGAGAGGUGGCCACCCUCAGGCCAAGCCAAGCCACACCCAUCUCUCCUGGCAGCUUUCAUCUAGGGGCUAUCCUUGGCCAUAGGGCAUUUUGGAGGUGGUCCUGGGUUGACUAUAUGAUGCUUUUAUCCCCAAUCGUCUUGUUCUGUUUAUACUGAAUAAUAAGUUUUACACCUUUAAGACUCUCUUCCAGACAGUGAGGAGGGCAGGGAAGAAGCGCGCAGUUUGUUUUCAGACUGCUCUCACUCCUCCACAUUCCUGCUCCUGGACUGUGUUGUCUGCGGAUGGACAGACAGCAGGACAGAGCUCCUUUUUCCCUUUUUCUUGCUUUUAGUUAGUUUUAGCUAGCUGAGGCAAAGAAGUUCUCCGGAUUGUGAUUUUUUCCUUUUUUUCUUGGACCUGUUCAAGCCUGCUCUUGACUGAACACCCAGAAGAGCACCGGCAGCUCCACCUGUGGCCCCUGGCCGGGCCUGGGCCACGGCGUUUCCAGCACCAGAGAGACUGAUCAAAGACUGAGUGAGCCGAGCUGCAGCCCGGGGAGGGGACUGUUCUGAGUUUGUUUUUCCUUGGAUUGUUUAAUAUUGUUUUAUUGUUUAUUGUUUAAUAUUGUUUGGUUUCUAUUGUUUAAUAAACAGGUUUCUUUCCACUUUUCUCCAAGGAGAUAUUUUCUCCCGAACCGGUUGGAGGGGGGAGGGGCAAUUGAAUCUGCUUUUGUAGAGAAGCCCCUUUGGGGGUUAUCUCCCAAACUUGCCCUAAACCAGGACAGAGGUGGAAUCUCAAUUUAGGCCAUGGGUGCCUGGCCAGGAAGGAGAAUUCUUUUCAUUAGGAAGGAAAGCACAGAGCCCCAGUGUUUCUGAGGAAGAUGAGUGACAGCCCUCAGGAAGCCAAGGCCAGCCAGACUUGUCACUCCUGGCAGCUUUGGUCUGGAAGCUAUCCUUGCCUAUAGGGAAUGCUGGAGGCUGAUGCCCAAUUUUGGCCAUGGGUGCCUGGUCGAGAUGGAUGUUUUUUUUCCCAUAAGAAAGAAAAGCACAUGGUCCCAGGGUUUCAAAGGCAGAUAGGAGAUGGCCCCUGGGGGGCCAAGGCAGCCAGAUCUGUCUUUCCUGGCAGAUUUCAUCUGGGAACAAUCUUUGCAUAUAAGGUAAUUUGGCAAGGAAUCCCAGUUUUGGCAAUGGGCCCCUGGAGGAAAAGGACAUUUCUCUCUCACAGGAAGGAAAGCCCAGAGCCCCAGUGCUUCAGGGACAGAUGAGAAGCAGCCCGCAACAUGCCAAGGUCAGCUAGACCUGUCAGGUGGUCCCCAGGAGGCCCAGCCAGCCAGACCUGUUCCCUGUUCCCUUGGUUUCGUGGGACCCCACAGUGUCCCAAUGGUCUCCUUGGUUCCAUGAGGCCCUGGAGUGUCACAAUGUUCCCCUUGCUUCUGCAGUGUCACAAUGGCCCUGUGCUUCCAUGAGGCCUUGCAAUAUCACAAUGGCUUUGUGGUUCCACAAAGCCCUGAUGUGUCACCAUGGCUCCUUGGCUCAAUGCGCCUUCGCUAUGUCACAAUGGCUCCUCUGUGACACUACAGGAUCCACAAGGUCACCAUGGACCCUUGGCUCCUUGGCACCUCCGAGUUUCACAGUAGUCUCCUUGAUUCUAUGAGGCACCACAGUGUCACAUGGCCCUUUGCUUCCAUGAGGUUUUGUAGUGUCACCGUGGUCACUGUCAGAGGCUGCAUGAGAUCAAUGUCCCGAGACACCUUGGGAUGCUCGGAAUGCCCGUGUGGGGCCAGGGCCGGGUGAGGCCUUGGCUUGUGGUGGGACAGAGCCCCGCCCCCAGCCCUGGCACAGCUGUCAAUCACAGAACAGAGGUGCAAUCACACGCUAGCAGCUGCUGCCUGCCCUGACUCUGAUUGGCCAAGCCACUGGCAGUCCCACCUCAGGGGCGGACCCAUGAAGGCCCAGGGGGUUAAAAGCCAGAGCACGAGGCCAGCCCAUGCUCUGGAUCCUUCCUUCUGCUGGGGUUUCUCUGUCAGCGAUGCUGGAACCUGAACAGCUGGUACCUAUUGUUGGUGACAGAGGAUGACUGGUCAAGGCAAGCACAGUGGAGAGGUUACGUGGACUGUCCAGGGAUGAGUUCUUGGUAGGUAAGUAAAAAUAAUGCAUGCCUUAAGAAUUAAUUGGAUGAGACAACUUUAAAAGACCUUGAAACUGUAUAUUUUGGGACCAUUUUGCAGUGCUUUUCCUGCACGCUGAGCCUGGUCUGCACAGCAUGCAAAACUUUAGAUAAGAUAAAAGUAAAGAAGAAGCUGAAGACCAAAAAAGUCCUGUGCAUUUCCUUUUCCCUGGCACAGAACUACUACAGGAGGGUUUCCCCCAUCCUGGGAGCCCCCAGAAGGGCCCAAUGUAAAACAAACAUUAAUAACUGGUGCCCUGACAAUGUUUGUAAUAAGUUGUUUUUUCCAUAAAGUUGUUUACUGCAGGGUCUUGUCUUCAUUAGCCGAGCAUGUGAAAUGUGUUGGUGAAAUGACCAAUGAGGUCCACUAGUAGCAAACCAAGAUAUAAAAGAAGAGGAUUGAAUAAACUGGUAGAU